rnacentral:rRNA from 1 species
AACUAACCAGGAUUCCCUCAGUAACGGCGAGUGAAGAGGGAAAAGCCCAACACCGAAGCCUGUGACUGUUUGGUCAUUGGGCAAUGUGGUGUUUAGGUCGGCUCGCGAAGGCACUGCUCCACCCUAAGUCCUAUAAUGAGUAAGGUUACUCGGACGUGGCCCAGAGAGGGUGAAAGGCCCGUGGGGGUGGGGACUCAGACUGGCCAGUUCCUUCCUGAACAGACCUUGGAGUCGGGUUGUUGAGAAUGCAGCCCAAAGUGGGUGGUAAACUCCAUCCAAGGCUAAAUACUAGCACGAGUCCGAUAGCGAACAAGUACCGUGAGGGAAAGUUGAAAAGUACUUUGAAGAGAGAGUAAACAGUACGUGAAACCGCUCAGAGGUAAACGGAUGGAGUUGAACUGCAAGCUCUGGGGAUUCAGCUGGUAAGUGUGCUGUGAUCUUGGUCAUAUGGGUUGUGAGCUCGGGUCUGCUUAGAUGCAGGUCCUCACUUUCGGUGUGUAAGCGCGUGUCACUUGUCAAGUGUUGCGCGCCCGGGCUCUCUCGAACCUGCUUGCCAGUGCACUUCCUCAGAGUGGUCACCACGACCGGCGUUGCUGUCUGGCUGUUGCAGUUAAACCGGCCUGGCAGGGUCUUCGUGGCUCUGCCACGUCGGGAUGGCAGGUAACCCGAAGUGCAUCUCUGUGCGCUUCCGGUGUAAUAGCUGACUGCAUCGGUACUGUGCGGUAUGCCGGAGACGGCGGUCUGUGCAUGCAAGUGUGCCGGAUUCAUUGGCAGCUCUGGGUCCGGUUACCUUGUUGCCUGUGAAUUCAGGCCAGGUAAUGUCUUGGUGCUGUUCGGUUCUCGGUUGCACUUGUGGUACUAUAUAAAGGCCUAUAGUCUGUGGUGUAGUGGUAGACUAUCCAUCCGACCCGUCUUGAAACACGGACCAAGGAGAGUAACAUGUGUGCAAGUCAUUGGGCGUUACGAAACCCAAAGGCGUAGUGAAAGUAAAGGCGCGGCUUGUCCGGGCUGAGGUGAGAUCCUGCCGUUUCUCAUGCGUUGUACCGCCAAGAUUCGAUCGACAGGCGCAUCACCGGCCCGUCCUAUGGUGUAGAAGCAACGUAAGGUUAGCUCAUCACCGGGGCGGAGCAUAAGCAUACAUGUUGAGACCCGAAAGAUGGUGAACUAUGCUUGCGCAGGUUGAAGCCAGAGGAAACUCUGGUGGAGGACCGCAGCGAUUCUGACGUGCAAAUCGAUCGUCAAACGUGAGUAUAGGGGCGA